AUGAACGGGGAUGCAGGUGUCAACUUGCCCAUGCAUCGUCAUAACCACCCACGGUCUACUACCAGGUCGCACGAUCGGGCAGCAACUGAACCAACCAACCAACCAACCGCUUGCCUCUUCCACCCCACGACUCUUCUCCUUCUCCAUCUUUACUCACUCCGUCGUCGACUCUUUCGUCGCCGUCGCCUCCGCCUCAUAUAUUACCCGCUGCGUGCCGUCUGCCCUCACAUUCACACACACUCGCCCGCGGACAAGCCAACUCUUGCGCUCCCCCCUCCCACAGCAGGCCAGCACUGCGGCAGCGCCAAGAGCCAGCGUCCGUCCAUGGCGCCUCUGCUCCUGCUCUUCCUCCUCGGCGGCCUCUGCGCCCUCUUCUCCCUCGCCUCCUCCUCCUCGCGCGGCGCCAAGAAGUGCUGCGACGCCGACGGCGAGAAGGCCAAGAGCCACAACCGCGGGGAGCAGGGAGAGAAGGCCAGCGGCAAGGUGGAGGAGAGGGCGGCGCCGGCGGACCGGGAGGCGGACCUGGGGAUCGUGUUCUCCACGUUCGACCACGACGGCGACGGCUUCAUCACGGCGGGCGAGCUGGAGGAGUCGCUGAAGCGGCUGGGCAUCGCGGUCUCCGCCGCCGAGGCCGCCGCCAUGGUGGCGCGCGUCGACGCCAACAGCGACGGCCUCAUCGACAUCCACGAGUUCCGCGAGCUCUACGACUCCAUCCCCAAGAAGCGCAAGGCCUCGCUCCUGCCCCCCUCCGCCGGCGCCGAGGCCGGGGCUGAGGAGGAGGAGGAGGACGAGGAGGGGGAGGAGAUGGACCUCAAGGAGGCGUUCGACGUGUUCGACGGCAACAAGGACGGCCUCAUCUCCGCCGAGGAGCUGGGCACCGUGCUGGGCUCCCUCGGCCUGCGCGGCCGCCCCGCCGCCGCCGAGUGCCGCGACAUGAUACGCCUCGUCGACAGCGACGGCGACGGCAUGGUCAACUUCGAGGAGUUCAAGCGCAUGAUGGCCGUCGUCAAGGCCUAG
rnacentral:rRNA from 1 species